rnacentral:rRNA from 1 species
GAUGAACGCUGGCGGCGUGCCUAAUACAUGCAAGUCGAGCGAACAGACGAGGAGCUUGCUCCUCUGACGUUAGCGGCGGACGGGUGAGUAACACGUGGAUAACCUACCUAUAAGACUGGGAUAACUUCGGGAAACCGGAGCUAAUACCGGAUAAUAUAUUGAACCGCAUGGUUCAAUAGUGAAAGACGGUUUUGCUGUCACUUAUAGAUGGAUCCGCGCCGCAUUAGCUAGUUGGUAAGGUAACGGCUUACCAAGGCGACGAUGCGUAGCCGACCUGAGAGGGUGAUCGGCCACCUGGGAACUGAGACACGGUCCAGACUCCUACGGGAGGCAGCAGUAGGGAAUCUUACGCAAUGGGCGAAAGCCUGACGGAGCAACGCCGCGUGAGUGAUGAAGGUCUUCGGAUCGUAAAACUCUGUUAUUAGGGAAGAACAAAUGUGUAAGUAACUAUGCACGUCUUGACGGUACCUAAUCAGAAAGCCACGGCUAACUACGUG